AUGUCCCUCUUACUCAGGUCUCUGUUUGGGCGCCACUUGUCACGAGCCACGACGUCAGAAUCCUGCCAGCAGGUCCCAAACCCGAGGGAAGAACAACAGGAGAGCAGUUUCACGAACUUAGUUCCAGGCUCCUGCUCUACCGCAGCAAGCUGCAUGGGAACAAGAGCUGCACGGGAGCGAGGGCUGCACGAGAGUACCGCCCACACAUCCCAGAGGGAAACAAUAACAACCAUUAUAGGUUACAUCUGCUACCAGCUGAACUUGCCCGUUGGUGUGGCGACAGCACGCGUGCCGGCGAGGUAACUCAAAGUUCAAUCAACAUCUGCUA
rnacentral:lncRNA from 1 species